AACGAAUAAUAAUAAACUUUGUCGUGUUUACAUUUCGACGGAGCGAGAACGUUCCCGUUUAUACGAAAGUUUAGUCGAAAGAUUUCUAUUGCGCGCGACGGAAUACGUAGCGUAGAAGGAGCUUGAGUGAAAUUGCGUUGGAAUUUCCUUGUCUUCUUUCCCGUGAUCUUUGCUUUCGAAGUGAUAAUUUAAUUAGUGCGUGUGAUAAUUUCGUCUUGUUUUUUUGUUUAUUUCUGGUGUUUAUUCGUGAAUUGCUUCAAUUUUGGAAGAAACGUAACGAGGAUAUUGUUCGAAAAUUUGUUGUGAUAAUGGAAAUUUGAAGUAAAUGGAAGGAGAAGGAUUCAUUCUUUGAGAGCGUGGAACAAUUAAAAAAAAAAGCAAAGUUGCGCAUCGCGUUAUCAGUUACAUAUCGUUUUAUUUCAUUUUUUUCUUAAUCAUUCACGAAUUUCAGGAUCGGAAACGAGAAUUUCGGUGGAGAGGAAACGAUAAGUUUGUUAGGAUAUGUCAAGGUGGAAAAGAUGGAAAGAAGGAAAAUCAAGGAUGAUCGAGGAUGAUAUUGAUUUGAGUCGUUCCAAGUGGCAAGGAUCAUUUUUAACAUGAAAAUAAGAGGUUGAUUGAAAAUUAAUCGAGAAUCGAAUAAAGAAUAUUCCGCGAUACAAUCGAACCAUCAACCGUGUUAUCAACGGGCGCAUGUAGGAGCAUUAUUUAUUAUUUCGAUCACCAUUCCAUAUAGAUCCUUUGUCGGGCGGAAAAGAGAUCCUUUAAUCCGAAUGACGUCGUUAUUGGUAUGUAUAGCUAAGAUAAUGGGGAUAUAUUCGUUUAUUUUCGAUAAGAUAUUACGAGGAGGAUACAAAGAUUUUUAUGGCCGGAAUAAAAAAGCGAGGAGAGUAAAGAGAAAAAUAUUUUUCCCAUCCGACCUCGUAAAAAUCUGCGUGCGCGAUGACGGUGGAAAUAAAUCAGCGGAGGUGGUUGGUUUAUCGUGAAGGUAGUACCAUGUAACUAAUUCAUUCGACCGUGAAAUCUGUCUGUGCCUGUUCGGUUGUAUAUUUUUUUAAAACAUUGUUGAAAAAAAAACGAUAUUUUAAAAAAAAGAUAUCACGAUAACGUUAUCAUACGGUAAUGUUUUAUAUAUAUAUAUGUAUAUCAUAUUUGACAAGAAUCGAAUUUCAGGAUAUUCCAAACAUCGAUAUUCUCAGAUAAUCGAGAAACGAACUUUGGGGUUGAGGAUCCGAUAAUAGCGAAUCUUGAAUCACGCGACGCGAAAGCAACAACUUGCAGAUCCCGAAAACUCGAUAAGAAGGGGUUUGUGCAUCGUCGCAAGAAGCAAUUUGAUAUUCCUUCUUCGCGAACGGACAAAGAGGAAAGGUUGGUACAUUUCGAUCAUGCUCGGAAGCAAACUGCUCGUGUUCUUGACACAGGGCGUUUCCAGACGAGCGAGUGGACUUUACAGAUAAGUCCUUAAUUAAUCGAAUAAUUUGCACACGGAUCGUCGUCCCCGGUCAACCUCAGCACGUGGUUAUCCAUCAAACGGAUAGUUUGUUGGCCCAACGAUGAAAUUAUGCUUUGUGAACUAUAUUACGGUCGAUCGAGGCUCUUGGAACUGGGUUACGUGCCUUUUCCACUUAUCCCGCAGAACAGAUCCAAUAUUGACGUAUGUCGGUUAAAAUUAAAUCAUGUUUAAUUCUAAUUAUAAGAAUAUUGAAUCGAUACAUUUUUCCGUUGGGAUCAAACGUUUAAAACGUAGGUAUAUGACUUUAAAAAGGAAAAACACAAGAAAGAAGAUCAAGAAAACGUUUAAAUCCAAAGAAUUGAACAAUCUUUCAGUCAAGGAAUGGGACGAGGAUCAUAUUUCUUAAUCAAUACCGGUCAUUCGCUCGUCUCAUCAUCAUCCGACUUCGAUUCGCAAGAGCGUUUUCGUUAAACCUGUAUACACGAGAUUACAUCAAUCCGUAAUCUCACACGUAACCGAGUUAGAGAGAAAAUAGAUAGAAAUCUCUUCGAAGCCGAGAGAUAAACUUAACGUUUAAUCUCGCGCAUUAAGGAUGUACAUUCACUUAAUUAAACCGUGGACAUCUCUAAGCUAACGAUUCUUCUUUCGGUUCGAGAUGGGUCAUUAGAACGAAACAGAAAAGGAUAGGGGAGCACUAAAAGUGCUCCUCGUUUUUCAUUUCAUCCCACUUUUCGAGAAGUUUAUAUUUCUCGCUAUUGAAAUUUGCGUGCUUUGAUUAAUUAAACGAAUGGAAAGUUGGUCUUUUAAGAAGAAUCGAGGAGGAGAGCUCCUCGAAAGAAAUUAUUAUCCUCCGGUUGAUAUCUCGUAAGUCUUCGCAAGGGAAAGAAAAAAAAAAAAAGAAAAGAAAAGAAAGGAGAAAAAAGAAAAAGAAAAUGGAAAUCUCUCAUAACGAAGGAGGAAAUGAAGCAGCUCGGUGAAUGGAAGCUCUUCUUAAAGUGACCGUUUAAUUAGACAAAUACCGUUAUAGCCGGGACUAACGGCUAAUGCCGCGUUUAUUUACUCCUUGUUUCCGGUCCCAUGGAAUAGCUCCACGCUAUCAGACUAAUCUUCUCUCCAUCCUUGGAAACCAUUUGCGCAAUUCGCCGCUCGCGAUCCAUUAAAAAUGCAUCUUCCCUACCUAAAAGGGUUAUUGGAUUUCCCUUUAAACAGGGAAGAAAAUCCUCUUGAUGAUCUCUUUUGCCAAUUACUCGUUUCGUCCUUCUCCGCUUCUUUCAUUCUUGGAUAAUUUUCAUCACGGUUUGGAAUCGUGACCUCUUUCAAACCAAUCCUUUUCGACUUCGAUACGAAUGUAUCGUGGAACAAGUAUCCCGCGAUUUAACGUGACACGAAGCGAGUCUCUCUCGUUUAAGGAAACAACUCUUCGAAGACCGUACGAAUUUUGGACUCCCUCGGUUCGGACAUUCGGGUCAAGUACCCGCUUAAUGAAACAAUUAACAUCCACCGCAUUUGCAUAUAACAGUUAAACUGAAUUUCCCUAACGAGCCGAGGGGAAGGAACGGAUUAAUCGUGGCUGCAAACUGAAACACGUAGGAUUUUUCGAAUUCAAACGUUUGUUAUUUGUAUAAGGAUGAAAUAUCCGUUUGUUUGGAUAUUAUUUUCUUUUUUCCAUUUAUCCUGCUAAAUAUCGGCGAUUAACCUGGAAACUAGAAUUAUUUUCGGUGCUAUUUGUAGCGCAGAGCUCUCUCCAUUAUCCUCCGUUGAAUUUUCAUCCUCGUAGUCCAGCGAGCAGGGCGAGCAAGCUCCUUAAGACGAUGCGAAGCGUGACGCUAAUUGAAUCCCAUCCUUCUCUCCUUUUUAAUUAAAGCAUAAGUGUUCUAUACUCGUAUGUUAUAUACCCGGUGACCCCGUGGUCUCGAAGGGAUUCAACGUCGAGUUAGUUAGGACACGUCUCGCUUCGAUAAUCUUGAACGAAGAAAACGCGCAAUUAGCCGCGUGACUAAUGGAACCGAAGCUUGAUCGAACAGGUUCGAAACUCGUUGAAAACUUAAGAAAUAACUUCUCGACAUCUCGAAUUCAAAUUAGAAUCUAAAAAGGAAAAUUCGUUUCAAAAUUCCUUCGUUUCAUUUCAUCGACGUGAAAUUCGGGAUAACAAAUUUCCAAAUUCCAAAGAAGAAUUCCACCACGAUCACCGUGGCAUCGCCAUAUCAUCACGGAACGUUCUCGUUCGAUCUCUUCUGUGCGAUAUCUCGGUCGCGGACAGCCCGAGGGCGCGGUACACAAGCGGAGCUAUGUAAUUCCAGGAUAUCUUCGUUACGGGAUGCGCGUUCGGUAGCCGUUCGUGUGUGGGAGGUGGUGCUCGAACGGAUGAAGGAGCAAAGGAGGAGGCAGAAAGGGAGGAGGGGAGGCCGUCUAUUAGUUAGCCGGCAAAUGUGCAGCGAUGUAAGUACACGUUAAGGUGUGCGGUGUCGGUAGAGGAGAAUGGAGAAUGGUUGGGAGGGGAGGGCAUCUUUGAAGGAAGGAGGAAGAGCCUCUGGUUCUGUGGCUCACAUAUGAGAAAGCCGGUGAAAAGCAGCUCAGGGCGCUGGGCUCUAUCUCUCUACACGCUUCUGAACGUGUAUAGGUCUAUGUGUUACAAGGGGGCCUUGUUGGCUCGGUUCCUCCACGCGAAACGAGAUGUUGGAGGGGGGACAAGUUGGGUUGAGCGUUAGGCGUUAACAUGAUAUAUGUUAUUCGCUUAAUUAACCGCUUGUCCGAGCUUCGCAAAACUUUUGAGGGAGGAGAGAGGUGAUUUCAAACCUGGUAUUAUCGCGUACCGUUCUGUUUGGAGGCGGGAGUACAAGAUCGGAGAAAAAUAUUUGAUUAUUGGUCGAGUCAAGUACGUUAACCUUCGAUCUUAAUGUUCGAUUUUAUUUUGGGGAGCAGAUAUGAAUCAAUACGAAUGCAAAAGACUUCGCAUCGAGAAGAACGUUGCUUUUUCUUACGGAUUACAAGUCGUGAAAAUACCAGAAAAAUGGCAAGAAGUAUGCCUACAAUUGUGAUGAAUCGCUCACGCACAAGGAGCGUCAACUGGAUAAUCUCCAGAUCGAGAUGAAAAGAUCCUGGCCGAUAUUUAAUUAUCAUUAGGAAAUUCCAUUAUCCGGCAAACACCAUGGUCGCUAACCAUGGUUAAAUCCUUCAACUAUUUGAGUUAGAAAUUACCGGUCGUAAUUUCAAUGCCGUACUCUAUUCAUGCACUUCUCCCACGAAAGAGGAGAGAGAGAGAGAGAGAGAGAAAGGUUCCACUGUCACACCGCCGUUUAAGGACUUCUCUCUCUCCUAAAGACUGAAACGUGUCUGGCAUAAUUGAAGCGCCUGAAUGGCUGCGCGAAUAUUUCAGCAGUCGGCCAACGUCGAUGUUUUGCACGAUGGAUUAAUUACUAUCUUCAAUAUUUUAUAAUUUCGUUCAGAAAAAGAGGAAGAAGAAGAGGAAGAGAAAGAAAUGAAGAUAUUCGUAAUUCAUCUCGCCACUUGAACAAAGGCAAUUUAACGGUCUAAGCACGUACAAUGGAAUUCUUAAUUUAACAGAGAUUCGCACGAGUGUAGGAGAGAAUAGGGUGGCGAACGAUCGCCAAGUAACAUUAUUACUUACACGUACAUAUGUAAUUGGUAUCCGGUUAGAAGAGUAUUUCUGCAUUAGUUAUAACGAGUAGCCAACUAAUGCCAAGCGUGGCACGCAUUCACGAAGCACAAAGCAGACAGGUAAAGCUGCCGCGCGUUUGUUUCAACCACUGUAUUGCGGUCGGUUGGUAUCCGCUCACUUCGACCUUUAAAACUUUGCAUCGGUAAGACAUCAAAGGCCUCUGUUACACUCGUUGCUAUUGACACUGUGUACCCGUUUCCCGCUAUAUAAAGGUGAAAUUGUGUAAUUGCAUUCUUCGCGGAAACAAGAGUUUCGUGAAGAAACGAGGUAAAUUAACUUAGCCAAUGUUUAAACGCUUUUAACGUGCUUUUAUUGGCUUCGUAGAAAUUUCAUGCAACAAACACCGUUUCUGAACUGUUACUGAACACCUGUACAAGGAUCCUUAAAAAUGUUUCCAAUAUUAUCUUAGACAGAGAAACCAGGACCACGAGAAGAAUACGUUAUAUAAUUUAGACGUUUAUAUCAUCGAAUCCUCGAUCAAAUCAUCCAUACUUUUUCUCAAUAAAAAUUUGAAAAUACGUAUUUGCGAAGCAGGAAUUCGUCUAAAUUAAAUUAAACGAAAAAGAAAGGAAUGUUAUGCGACUUCGUUAUUUUUAGAAUUUAAACUCUGGAAUUAACAAGAAAAUCUCGUUACUCGUCGAGUUGAUGGCUGGAAGAUUCGCAAAACGCAGCUCGAAUUUAUUUCGUCCCAUCCGUGUAAAUUCGCCGGUGAUGAACGAUAAACGUCGGCACGCAGUUUGAAACGCGGGCGUUCAAAAGAAACAUACGCGUAAACGCGCGUCACUGCAACUAUGAAAACAAGAUCAGCCAGCCUCGCCGUAAAUUGUGAAGAAUGUUGGCGAAAAUCGUAGAUAAUAAAGAAAAGCGAGAUGAAAUUUUUAUUGCUUAAAAUUAUAAUGAUAAAAUCUCGAUAUCAAUGUUAAAAUCUUUCAAGCUGUGUUCAAGCACGCUUUAAUUUUCAUGUAAGAUUAAUUUUCAAGUUACUUUCAGCUCUUUAGAAGGUAUUUCUUAUUAUCUACGAGUAGAUUUAAUUUAUUUUUCCUGAUAAAGAAGACACGAAGAAAAUGAGAAAGAUAAAACGUAAUAAAUAAAUGUAACGAAGAAAAAUAUAGAUAUAGAUACAUAUAUCCAAUAAAAAAAAAAGAUAAAGGAUUUUCAAGUUUUACGUACAAUUUAAAAAUGCUGGACCCGAGUUUUAAUUCAAGAAAAUACAAAAAUAAUAAAUUAUAUCGAAUAUAUAAAAAAAAUAAAUACUUGGGAAGUUUUCUCGUAAACAGAGAGCGGCGAGACCGGAGGUAACGAUAAAUUACCUUUUAAGAAACAGCGAUAACAAGUGGAUGCGGUACGUGUUCCUUCUGUUAUCUGAACCGUAUUAGAAGAAUAGAGUUUCGUUUCCCCAAGAAACGGGGCAAUAAAACGUGGAAAGCUGGCAAUCGUGGAUAGAUUAAUAGCUCAUACGAAAAGUUAUCGUCGACUGAUUGUACCGCGGUGACGAGCUGUAAAUGGAACGACAGUGUCAGCUCAGUGUAUCUUCGCGACGCGACCCUCAUAUAUUCAACGAUAAAAAUAUCUCCGCGCGAUUUUUUACAAUCGAGAGUGUCUUUCAGAUAGAGUGGAAAAUGAAUAAAGGAAGAAUGAUGGUGAGUCUAAAAUCAAAUAUAACGAAUUCAGAACGAAUUGAAACUUUUAAUAAGAUAUAAUGGUAUAUUUAGAGAGUCAUAUUUUAUAUAGACUGUGUAGGACAAAUGUAAGAGAAUAUGAUACACAGAACAUAGAAAAAUAAUAUUAUUACAUUUGAUGAUCCGUUUCUUAAAAUAUCUUGCAUUCUAAUCUACUUGUAUUCAAUUAUUCACUAACAGUCAAGAAUUAACGUAAGCUCAAUAUGUUCAAUAUCUCGAAAGAGAUGUUUCGUGUGCUCGAGAUCAUCGUGUCUCCCGUGUAAAUUUAGCCCAACAUCCUGCCCAACCGAGUAAGUGAUCCUGUCUUUGGAAAAAAAACUUUCUACAAAAAAAGAAAAAAAAAAAGUCGGUUCGCUAUAAAUCCAUCGUCGUUCCCCCUUCCUCGUGUACGCGUGUCUACGUCUGAAAUGGAGCGCAUGAGAAGUUUACGUUCACGAUCUGUGAAACUGCUGCCGUUGGAAACGGAUGCCGCGGUCGUCGGCGCGGACACGUCACGCGGAACACGUGUUUAUGCUUUCUCGAGUGUCGCCCCACGCAAGAAAUUAGGGAUAGGAGGAAGAUGGAGUGGAGGAGCGGAAGUGGGUGCGAGCGAGAAAGGGAAAAUGAGGGCGACAUCCCGCUUGUCGAGCUUCCAGUUUGAUCGAUUCGCCAGACGUGCCCCGAUCUCUGACGGCUUUCUUGUGUCCGCUUAAACGAGGAAUUAGCUUUCGUUUAAAAGGGGGAACGUUUUUUCUUCCUCCUCCUUUCCCUCCUCCUCCUCCUCCUUCUUCUUCUUCUUCUCUUCCACGAUUCUUUCAAACUCCGUUGCAGAGCGCGUGUGGACGUUGUCAAAAUCGAGAAAAUGAAAAAUCGAACGAUUUAUUGCACAACAGUGAAAAUAUCGCGAACCAUUGAGAAAACUGGACUGAGAAAAAGAUAUGUAUGUCCCAUAUAACGUCGCGAUAGAACUUAAUACGUAUUAUCUUAAACACUAGGCUCUGUUUUAGGUUGAAAUACGCAAUUAAUGGGGAGGCAGAUGCAAUUAGAGGGGCAUCGAGUUUGGAGUGAAUCGGGAUCAGAGGAGGCGGCGUCCGCGCGAUCGGGACGCGAUAAAACGUUGAAUAAAAGAACAAUUAUUACGCUAUCUGAUUCCAUUGUAUGCAAAUAAGAAUAUAAAUGCGGACUAAUUUCACGUCUGACACCUACAGCAAGGGACAACGGGAGGGAACAAACCGGGAGCCGGGGAAAGAGUCCAUCUUUGCCGCUUCUAUUCAUGCAGUAAAAGCCCAUUAUCGCGCGGACCUGCGAGAAAUAAGAACAGGAAAAGGGGUGGAGGGGGCGCUUGGUCCCCUUAACGCCCCCUCUUCGUUCUUCUUCUUCUUCUUUCCUUUUCUGCUCUCCCCCUCCUCCCCUUUUCUUUGUCUUCUCCCCGCCUCUAAUCCCCGCACAGGCCUCUGAUUCAGACCAAUAACUUGUCCUUUAAUACAAUUAAACACGCCCUCCUCCCGCUGCAAUUACUUAUUCAUCAUCGAGAAAUACAUUAUGAGGAAUCGUGCUACCGCUGACGUGUGCGCUCGCAAUGAAAUGUUCUGGAGAAUCGCGACGCUCUGUUGGGAAAAGAGCGGCGACGAUUCAGCCGCCGAGAGUUUUAAGAGAAAUUAAAUUACGACAGACGUCUUAAUACGGGGGUAUUAAGGGGGGAAUGGAAUUACCGAGGGGGCCGGUUGAGUUGUGCCGCGGGAUAAUUAGUUGUAUAAUUACAUUGCGAUUCCGCCCGUUAUCGGGUUAUGAGAAUUCGAUGAAUGGGAGAGCAGGAAUGGAGCGUUCGCGUUCGUGUAAGGAGGGAAAUUCGAUGAAGAAUGUAAAUCAAGAAUGAGGAAGGAUCUAUAUGGGAUAUCUGUCUUGAGUAUUCGAUGAACGAGAGAGAGAGAGAGAGAGAAAGAGCAACGAGAAAUAGCGUUGUUGUAACGAGAAAAUUCGAUGAGGAAUGUAAAUUAGAAAGGGAGAUCCGUUGGAAAAUGUAUUGUCAUUUCUCAUGGAGAAGAAAUAUCUCUCCUUGAAAUCUUGCGCGUAAAAUUUCUCUCGUUUUGCUUUUAAUUUAUAUCCACCUUCAAAUAUUUCCAAUACCUAUUACAAAUAUUAACCGUGAGAUUGAAUCGAGAGAUUCGAUUUCCAUCUUCCACUCCAUAAUUCCGCAAAUUUCGAAUUUCUCCACCCUUGGCUGGGGAACCAAGCCGGAGGAAUCAGGGAUCAAAUUUUUUUCUCCGCGCCAAAAGACGGGGAUAACAACAAGCAACGUAUUCGAAGAGAAGCAAAAUUUUUAUUUCCAUAUCCGCUUCCAUCAUCCGUCCAACCGCGCCCGUAUCUACGCGAGUAAGAGAAUCACGAUGGGACGAGGGGGAAAAAAAAGAAAAAAAGGGAGGGAGGAGGGGGUUGGAGGAAAACAACUGAACUGAGAGGUCUUUCGAAUUUCUCUUUCACACUUGUCAAUCCUCGAAACGCACUAUCUCGGUGCAGCCAUCAAUCUCGAAACGUCCCCGGGCCGCUACGCCCCGAACGACAUAAAUCCAAUUUCCAGCGUUCCAACCUAGGCAUUCUAUUUACAAACUAUUCCGGGAUACGCGCACCUGACCGAGCCCCGACUGAAUUUUCACCGCGUCCUUUUUCUUCGACACCCCGCGAAAUUCGAUAAACUUUCUUGCUACUUAAAUAGAAUUGACCGAAUCGCGGCCAUUUCCGGACCAUGCAGCUGCGAGAGGUUUAUUUAGAAGGCGUUUUGCGUUAAUUAUUCAAAUGGAUUCUGGAGGAGGGAAGGGGCGCCUCGAUAAAUUACUCUUUUCCCUCCGUUCUCUCCAUUCCGCGCAACCUGGCGCGCUUCUUUUUGGACGAAACGAUUCUUUGAGGGAGGAAGAAAUUAUUUUGUUGGAAAAUUAGAAUAUUUUUACCGAAUGUUCAAAUUAAUUUUCGAUUAUCGUCAAUUUCCAGCGAAUUUUGUGAAAUUUGCCGAAUCACGUAGAAAAUAAUUUUUCCAUUUCAUUCCUCUUUUAAAAUAUGUGUAUGGCAAAUAUAAAAUAUUUGUAAUCGUGCCUUCUAACGAAGCAUUUACUCGUUAAAUAUUUAAUUUUCAUUUUCAAUAUUAAAUAAUCCUUGGUUUUGAUUAAUUUUCGCAACAAGUGCGAUGUAGCACAAAUGAUUUUUUAACCGUUGAGGGGAAAUCGUAAAGUGUUAUCUUUCUCUCUAACCGUCGCUCUCGUCCAAUCGAAGCGUCCAAUUUAUUCUUCCAUUCGUCCAUCGCCUAAUGGAAGAUGUUCCUUAGAUAGAAACAGAUGUCUCGUUCCCCAAGAAUCCAACUCUUUCUCUCGUCAAAUCCUCCAACUCCUCGAGCUCCUCAUUUACUUUCACGCGUUAUCUUGACAGCUACCAUCACAAAAAAACUUCCUUCUAUCGCGUAUCCUGUUACCGUUGGAAUCCCACUAAGGGAAUACAGCGUAAUAACACUACCGUGAAACGUGUGGAAUUAACGUAAUAAAGAAAUCGAUGCUCUUUGGGAAAAAGCUCGAGAUAUCAACGAAUUAAAAAAGGAAGAAAAAAGAAGAAAAAAGAAAGUGACAAGGAAACACUUGGAACACCGACAUUGCGGUGUCAUAGAUUAUAUUGAAAUGUUCUUUGAAGUAAGAAAGACGCAUUGAAACGACGCGUCGUCGCGUGCGAGGAAUCGAUAUUUCUCGAACGAGGCGCGGCUCGAAAAGUCGGGAAAAUCUCGUUCCAUUCGAAGUUUUGGCAAAUAAUAUAAUAUUACACCGUUGGAAUAUCGGAUGUUGAAGCACGAUACGGAGAAUCGCGCAGCUCUGGCAAAAGUUCCGUAUUUGAGAGGCCGGGUAACCCAAUUCCUUUUUCGUUGUUCGACAACAGCUAUCACAUCAUAGCCUCCAUCGAUUAAUUUUGCGAAUUUUGAAAAUUGAAGAUUUGGGAAACGAUAUUGAUAAUGUUGCAGCUAUAUAUUAUAAUAACUUCAGCCUUCCUUUUUUUCUUUCAUAACCGUAUAAAAGUAUAUUUUUUCGUAGGGUAGAGAAUCUAAGAAUCUUUAAUAUUUUUUUCAAUAUCUUUCCCGAUAAAUCAUCUUCACGUAAAAUUCGCGAAAACUAUUUUGAAAGGUCGAAGACAAGGAAGAGUCCACAUAUGAAAUCGGUUAUUAUUUAAAAAUAAGAGAAUAUAUUUUUAUUAUUCUAACAAGGUAAAGAGGAGAUAGGGUAAUCUGAAAGAAAAAUUGACCUGGGGUUAGCCUGUCAAGUACAGAGUCGUUAUCGUGCUCGUCGUUUAAACGCACUGGUGGAUCCCUGUUUCCAGGAUGGAAACGAGAAGCGUUUUUCAGCCAGGAUAAUCGUAGUCUCGCGUAGGUUGCAACGGCCUCCGAUUAAAAAUUGAUCGACCAUUCGAUGGUUAUUCAUCAGGGCCAGUUUUCAGCGGCGCGCAUCUGGCCGAUCGCUAUGAAAGCUUUCUUUGGAACGGUUAUCUUUUAUUCGAGCUAUCGGUUAAAAUUUAUCACUUUUCGUGUGCCUUCUCCACUUCUGCUUGAUCAAGCCGAAACGAAAAUAAUUCGAAAACCGAAUUCUCGAUGAAUCAUUCCACGUUUGAUCUUAUCAUAUCAAGGAAAUACAAUUCUGAUGAUGUUUAUUCGUACAUAUAUUCCAUUCUGUGAAAUUUAAUCAUAAUUAUCAUCGUAUUUAAUCAUACUAUUCAUUUUGAAACUUAUGAUUCCUUCGUUUAGAGAGCGUUGAAGCGUUUGUGCAUCGAUCGAACAAUUUUUCGUGAACUAAUAUAUAAUAAUAUCUAUCUGUAAGAAAUUUAAGUAAAAUUUAAUUAUUAAAAUUAUUUUUCAUUCACUUAAUAUCGUAUCAAGAAAAAUUACAAUCUUCAUUUUUAAUCUUCUUUCUAUUCCAUUCUCGAGAAGAUUUUAUAUCGAUAUCGACGAUUUUUAUAAUUAUAAUUUCCAAGAAUUGAUAGAUUGGAACAAGACUCAUACGUGUCCAGUGAUUUUUAACUCGAGCCAAAAUAAGUCAUAUACAACGAGAGAUUGGACCACGAACACUUGGCAAGUAUGCAUGGACAUUUUAAAGAAUUUAUUGGAGGACCAAUAAACGAUUCGAGCUCGUUCCGAAUUAAGAUGUAAUUUAGUGGCGUGUAUCGGUCCUCGUUUUUAUUAAAAGAUAAACACCAUGUUGAAUCGAAAACAGAUGACUCUUUCCGUGUUCUUACGUCGAUCGUUAAAAGGCUUACUUUAUGCUGAUUAACCAUCGAGACAUGGAUCUGGGAGAGGCGGGGUACCGUGCAUAAAUACACGGGUUUUUUGCUUGUAUGAAUAUGCAUGAAUAUUAAUGAAACCGCUACGACACCGUAUCUACUGCGUUCUCGAAAUGUCACUCUUCCAACGAUUGAUUAGCAAAUUGAAAUUCUCGAUCAUUUCGUUGCGUCGAUCCUAAUUUGUACUUUUCGUGUCGAUAUUGUUUAAAAUUAUUUAAGAAAUUACUAGAUAAAGUAUUAAAUAAUUUAAGUUUGAGAGGAUACGUAAUUAUCUGAUCAAUUAUUUAAGAUAAAGAUAAGAGGAAUGAGAAACAAUUUUUGAAAGAAAGUUGAGUUUUAUAAUUGAGACUAUAUUAUUCAUUUUCUCUAAUAUUUUUAUAUUUGAAAUUUUUGUAUCGUGUCUUCGUUUUUUUCUUUUUUUUUUAUUUGAUUAAGAUGAAUGAUUGGUAAGGAUAUAAAAUUAUAAAUUUUAAUUAUAAAUUCUCACACACAGGGGAUAAAAAAUUGGAUUCAUAACAAAUCACCUUAUUUCACGGCUGAUUGUUAAUCAAUGAGCCAGCGGAUCGUUUUCUCCUUUGUAUUUUUCACCGUUCGUUAUUCCCUGUGAAUCUCCAAUAAGCUUCUUCUUCGAAUAAUUUCGAAACCGAAUUUAAAUAAAACGUGAUAAUUUUUUACUCGAUCCCAAAAAUUCGGAAUUUUCCAAUCGCGACCAUUGAAACCACAGCAUCCUUGAGAACUCGUUGCGGAACGGAACAAGUCCCAGAUCAAUAAAGUCUUGGGCUAUUUCGAUCGCAUCUAAAAUUCCACCGAUAAUCUUCACCCACGCGCUAUUUCAAUUUCAUAUAAAUAUUUAACUUAUUUAAAUAGAAGCUUUAAAUAGAACCACGUUUCCUCGAUCCUCGAAUAACUCGUUCGAGUAAUUCGAUGAAAAAUUAUCAAAAAAUUCCAAGUUUCGUAACUUCGUUAAAAUAUAUUCACUCGGAUCGAAAUUUUAAUGUAUCUCGAACAAAUUUUGAAGUUAUGGAAAUUAUGGAAAAUUAUAAAAGUUUAAUAAUUUCUCAUCGUUACUCGAGCAUCUAUCAUCCAACCAUCCUAUUCGAUGAUUAGAGAUUGCGCUUACAUUUCUAUAUCGUCGUUUAAAAAUUUCUUUCUCGAAAUCCCUCCCUCCAAGGAAUAAUUUCCUUUCGUUCUCGCUUUUUUCCAACCCCGCAAAUAAAUCUGCCUCGACUAGCGACACGAUUUCCCGAAUCCCAACGGUCCUCCUGGAAGCAUUACAUCUUACAUCACGACGGAAGGAGAACGGAACCAUGGUCCCAGGACAAGGAGGUGGAACUUUGAGCGGUCUAAUUUCUCGAUGGUCGAUGGCUGCACCCUUUCCAAGACGACUUUCGAGCCUUCCAACCCAACUUUCUCUCCGUUACAUCAUUCUGGGUAGAGUAAAACCAGCAUCGCAUCCUGACUAAAAAAGACCUAUUGAUUAUUUUUUGGAGUUGAAAAUAAUCGCGUGAAUAUUUCACGGAUAUUGUCUUUAAAUUCUCGAGGGCAAUGGUGUAUCGAGUGAUUUCAAUAAACAGCCGUAUUUCGCUACGAUAUUUACAAACAUUUUCCCCGGCCAAUUCGUGGAACACUUUCUCGUUCGCAAAAUGUCAACAUUCGCCGGCGAUACAGUUUAUAAAUUCUUCAGUCGAGGAGUUUCGUUCGACGAGUAAAGUAAUCGUGGAAAGCGUCUUUUAAUUAUUCGUAAAGAAUAAUUAAUUUAAUUCGUUAAGAAAAUAGAAUAAUCGUUAAGAAUAAAUAGCUAUCGGUUAAAAUAAUCGAAUUAUUUUUAUAAUUAUUUUAACAAAUUAAUACAAUUGGAUAGUGUAAUUUCGGUGCACAGUGUUAAAAUUAAAUCAUCAGCAAUUAUCCAUUUCUAAAAGAAUAUUUCAAUUCAACGAAUCCAACGAACUCUCAACGUUCUUUAAGCCACGAUUUCCCUUCUCAAUAAUCAAGAAACCGUCAUUACGUCGAAAGAAAGCGACACAACGAUAUCAAACGAAACAAAUAAAUUCAGAAAAAUCUAGAAAUUCUAAAUCAAUUCUCCAGAAUUCCCCCAAUAAAUCGAAGAAAUCUACAAUCUCCGUAUCGGAAUCGAAACGAUGGAAAAAUCGGAAGAAAGAGAUGCUCUCUGAUCGCCGAGAUGGAGAAAUCGAAUCCGAUAAAUGCGACGCAGGCAUAAGAGGGGGCGAGAAACAAUAAUGGAGCGAAGGUUUAAACAAAAUAGCCGUUGUCCGCGGAAAGGAUAAUUGGAACGUUUCGAGCGAGCACCUCGAGGGAACGAUCGGCGAGCAAAUCGAUCGAGAAGCAAUUGUUUCGUCCGUUUUCGCGCAUGCACACCUGCCGUUCUUUGAUUCGUUCACUCGAUGGAACGAGUUAAAGCGAUUAGGUCAACGAGGGAAGGGCCCUUUGUUUCCACGCGAACGUUUGGUAAAUUUACAUCGGUUAACUGGUGAUAGAUAAAGCGGAUCGAUUCGUGGUCGAAUUGAAAAAACGUCACGCGGGAUCGGUCGUUAAGGUAACUCGUUCACCUCGUUACGAUGGAUUUGCCGCUCUUUGCCCUACGCGGAUUAUCAUACCUGAUCGUGAUUCCCCCCUCAGAUAUCAUCUCUUGUUAUUAGUGAGUGGAUUUAUAAAUUUGUCGUUGGUUCGUCCCCGACUGGGACAAUGUAAAAAGUUAUUUUUUUACUUCGUGUGUAGAUAAAGUGUGAUAAAGUGAAUCGAGAAGAGGAAAAGAAAGGCUAAUGGUAAAAGGAAAUGAUAGAUUGUGAAUAAUGAUCGUGUUUUUUUUUUUUUUUAGGCAAAUAAACGUGCAAUUUGAUACAUAUAGAUUUUGUAUUUUAUAUUUUAA